AAUGGGCGCAAGCCUGAUCCAGCCAUGCCGCGUGAGUGAUGAAGGCCUUAGGGUCGUAAAGCUCUUUCGCCAGGGAUGAUAAUGACAGUACCUGGUAAAGAAACCCCGGCUAACUCCGUGCCAGCAGCCGCGGUAAUACGGAGGGGGUUAGCGUUGUUCGGAAUUACUGGGCGUAAAGCGCGCGUAGGCGGACUAUUAAGUCGAGGGUGAAAUCCCGGGGCUCAACCCCGGAACUGCCUCCGAUACUGGUAGUCUUGAGGUCGAGAGAGGUGAGUGGAAUUCCGAGUGUAGAGGUGAAAUUCGUAGAUAUUCGGAGGAACACCAGUGGCGAAGGCGGCUCACUGGCUCGAUACUGACGCUGAGGUGCGAAAGUGUGGGGAGCAAACAGGAUU
rnacentral:rRNA from 1 species